ensembl:lncRNA
AUGCCUGCCCCGCCCAGCCAGCUGGCCACCGAGAGGCCAGGUGCGGUUCUGGCCUGUGUCCCUCCAGAGGCAGCAGAGAGCCACACCGCGAGGCCACCGAAAUGUGAAUGUAGAAGCUUGAGAGCCGGUGGCGGACCUGCUGGAGUAGCUCUGCGAGUGCGCGUGCGCGUGCCCGCCCGCCCGAGUCCCCGCCCAGCUCCUCCCAGUCACCAAUGGUGCACAAAGGAAUACGCGGACGUCGAAAGGGCAGCAAGACCAAGCCUCGGUCCUGAGCGGGUGGGGUGGGGGGGGGGCCUCCCGCCCUUGGUUUUCUUCUUGCUCUGUUUUCAGGCCCUUCUAAACCAGUCCGGGCCCAGGGCCUCCACAUCCCGCACCUGCGGUCCUCGCCCCACCGCAGGCCCUGCUGCUUCUCGGGCGGUGGUCCCCGACCGCGUGGAUGAGAAGGCGAGGGCCCCGGGGGCUCCGCGGGUAGGAGGGCUUCCAGGCCGGUCCCUCCCCGAUGGGGCUCCGCGGGCAGGCGCAAGUUCCCGGUCCCCAGGUCCCCUGGCCUGAUCGGAUGUCCCCUCCAUGUCCACCCCAUCUCACUAUGCAAUCCCAGUCCAAGCGCCAAUCCCUCCCCGUCCCAGGACCCCUGCCCAGCCGGGGAGCGGGUGCGUGGGUGAUGGUCCCAAAAGGGGGACGAGCAGGGACCGGGGCCUCUUGUGCGGGAUUUUUUUUUUAAACCAUAAUGGUUGUGUGCCACACCACUUUAUACUUGUUACAUAUAUCUCUCCAAGUUAUUUUGUUAAGACUCCCCCUCCACGGUCCCCGCCCCCACCACCCAAGAUCGAUUUAGCAUUCUGAGCGGGGAUCGAGGCCUGAACCGCUUGGCAUUCUCCAAACUUCCAUAGGGCCAUGGCUGUAUGUGCUGUCGCUGUGUUUCUGGGUGUGUGUGUGGUUUUUUUUUUUAAGCUUUUUUUUUUUUUUUUGUAAAAUGGUUUGGGGUUUGAUUUUUAUUUCGCUGGGGGUUUUAUUUUUCUUGGCAAAUACUAAAACUCGUCAAUGUAAUUUCUGUGGUUUCUAUUCAGCUUGGGUUUCAUGUUUUAAAAUAAACAAAUUUUAAAAAACAGGCCUCUUAUUCCUGAGUUGUUUUGGCACCCUCCCAGGUUUGUGGCCAGGCGGCCACGUGCGGGAGCCACUAGGGCCUGGGGGACCCUGGUGGGCGGGGCCUCGCGGGGAGCGGGGGCUGGUGGGCGGGGCCUCGUGAGGAGAAGGGUGGGGCGGGGCCUCGCGGAGAGGAGCGUCUGGUGGGCGGGGAGAAGGGCCUGACGGGGCGGGGCCCCGUGGGAGGAGGGUCUGGUGGGCGGGGCCUCGCCGGGAGGCGGGCCUGAUGGGGCGAGGUCCGAUGGGCGGGGUGUGACACGGGUGGGCGGAGCUGCUGGCGCAGGGAGCGGUGGUUUCUAGUCUUGAAAGACCUAUUUGUACAUCUUGCGCUGGAGAGGCCUUGAGGAGACUAGAAUUGCUGUGCGGAGGGUCCCCGUCUCCGGUCACCAGGAGAGGUGACAGAGCUGGCCCUGGGCAGGGCUGCUGGAGGAGGGCAGAGGCCAAAUGGUGUGUCCCCAGGAACAUCUCCUGAGUCCCCCGGUGUAACCCGAGGCGGGGCUCCGGUUCCUGGGGCGCCUCCCCAGAGUCCUUAUCAGUGGCCUGAGCAGGGACCCAACCCCUGCCCUCCGAGGUAGGAAGGAUCAUUCUUGUUCUCAUUUGAGAAGCCGGCUGGGGAAGGCACAGUGCUGUCCAAGGGCACAUGACCCAGGGUGGCAAGACACACACCCCCACCUCACAGGAAGAUCGUCAGGGCCUGUGGAAUUGGGGGAGGCACAUUUUCCCAGGAGAGAAUCUGUCUCCCAUGCCGGGUGCACCUGUAGGCAAAGGGAGCCGCGAGGCUCCAUGGAAGACACCCAGGUUCUGGCUCUCACCCCCGUGGGUGCCUGGGCUGGCAGGGUCACUGGGCAGAGCCUCUGCCCCCAGCACACAUCAGCAGCCUGGUCCAGUGGUUUCCGAUUUGCCUGAUUCCUGGGGAAAGAGGCCCAGGUUACAUAAGCUCUUAAAGGUGAGGGAACACAUCUGAGGCUCUGUGCUUCUGCAGUGCCGUGUGGGGACAACAGGAAUUGAUUCUCCUCUUGAGUUUAGCUGCAAGGCAGAAAAACCCUGCUAUAGCUGGAGGGGGCAUGGCCCAGAGAAGUGUGUGUGUGUUUGAAGAUGGGGAAAUGCUAUGAUGGUGAUGAUCUCGUAGGCAGAGGAGAUGGCUGCACUCGGGAAAAGGAAAGAGUUCUUUGGAGGAGUGAUGUUCCUGAGUUACCAAGAGGGGCUGGGACCUCGGUCCCAGUGAGGGGUUGGCUGCAGACAGGAGUGUGGCCCCUCCUGCUGGGCCAAGAGCAUAUGGGCAGCUUGGGGCUGGGGUGCAGAAGGUCUUACGAGGUAGAGGAGGCUGGAGAGGAAGUGGGGUUGCUGUGUGAGGGGCAGUGGGCCUCCCAAAGGCCCCUGAGGCACUUGGUCUGGAACUCAGGUGAGACUCACCAGGCUGGAAGGCAGCCCCUCCAGACACCCAGGUGUGGGUAGUGAGCGGGCAGCGGGCCAGAUGCAACAGGUCAGAGGCUGCAGAUUUGGCCAAGAGAAGAUGUGGAAGCAAGAGAGGCCAAGGGAAGUGAAGGUGACUUCAAGGGCGUGACUGAACCUGGAGAUUUCAGCCAGGAGAGGACAAGCCCUCCAGGGGCGAGGAAUCUGGGGUCCCGUGGGGUCAGGAAAUGGGAGCUGGACAGACAGCAGGCAGAGGCAAGGUAGGAUGCUGCGGCCACGGGGUAGGUAAGGUCUGGGUGGAGUGGCAGCCAAGACCGGGUGGGCGUGUGGCUGCCUGCUGGUCGUUGGGGAAGGAGAUGCCAAGGAUACGGGAAGGGUCCCUGACACCAAGUCCCCAGGAGCAGUGUGGGAGAGUUUGGCCAUGAAAUAGGAUUCCCGAUCGCCCCAGGACGAGGGGGUCUGUGGAUACCCACAUCGGGGAGGGGGCGGCAGAGGUUGUGAGCCUGUUUGGAGCAGGGGCAUGGGCUAGUGGCGGCAAGGGCAUCCUCAGGAGUGAGGACAGCAAAUGUCCAGCAGGGGGCGCCGAGUCCUCGGAGGAUGAAAGACAAGGGCAGGACAGAUUGCUGGAGGAGCCCGCCUGGGAAUCGGCAUUCCCACCAAGUUCCCAGUGACUGGGGCUCAGCUGUGACCACCACAUUCAAAAAGGAAAUGAGCGGUCACUUGGCAAGUAUCUGGGGAUUCCACCAGGAUGGGCCAUAAGGAGAUGCAGCAACCAGCCAUGCACCAGAGCCAGGGGACAGGGCAGUGGCCUGGGUGGUCUGCAGCAGAAGGCUCAAGCUUGCCUCUUGACAGCACAUGUACUUCAGAAAGCAAAUACUGGUAAUAAUUAGUAGAUUCCAAAUACUGGUAAUAUACCAAAUAUUGAUAAUAACCAAAGAUUCGUG